UAGAACACAGUGAGAAGCCUACCUUCGUUUCGACCUACUUCUGCUUCUUUUUUUUUGAGUGGAGGGGCAUAGAGAAACUGUUGUAACGUUUACUACUUCGAGUAGUAACUAGUAAAGCAGCAAAAGAUUGAAAUACGUAUUUGCAAAGGACUAUA